rnacentral:lncRNA from 1 species
AGGUCUGCAGAUCAAAGUUUGGCUGAUCUUGGCUGGGCUUGUCUAUGUUUGGCUGGGCUAGGCUGGACUCCAAUCUUCAGGUCAGGUUUACAUCUGCUUCACAUGUCUUCAUCAUUCUAGAACAAGUUGCCUGCCUGAGAUACAUUCUUCCCACAGUGGGGGACAGAAGUACAAGAGAGACAAAGGCCCAGAAACAGCCUGAAGAGCCUCUGAACUAAGGCCACUUGAAGCAAGGAGGCACAAGUAAUUCUGCCAUAACGAAACUCACCUGAUUGGAAGAGGGGCGUGAAGAAAGGGUUUUCUAAGGCAGGAUCAAAAUGAGAGAUUCCAUCUCAGACCUUGGCCCUUCAUCUUUAGCAGGUGAUACUGUAGUCACCGGACCAACCCCCAGCCUUGAUCUCUC